CCAAUGGCACUGCCCGGUAGCUAAAUGCGGAAGAGAUAAGUGCUGAAAGCAUCUAAGCACGAAACUUGCCCCGAGAUGAGUUCUCCCUGACCCUUUAAGGGUCCUGAAGGAACGUUGAAGACGACGACGUUGAUAGGCCGGGUGUGUAAGCGCAGCGAUGCGUUGAGCUAACCGGUACUAAUGAACCGUGAGGCUUAACCUUACAACGCCGAAGCUGUU
rnacentral:rRNA from 1 species